rnacentral:rRNA from 1 species
UACGUAGGGUGCGAGCGUUAAUCGGAAUUACUGGGCGUAAAGCGUGCGUAGGCGGUUGGCAAAGUCAGCUGUGAAAGCCCCGGGCUUAACCUGGGAACUGCGUUUGAAACUGGGAGACUCGAGUGUGGCAGGAGGGGGGUGGAAUUCCGACGGUGUAGCAGUGAAAUGCGUAGAGUAUGAUGGAGGAACACCGGUGGCGAAGGCGGCCCCCUGGACCGGUAUGGACGCCUGAUGCGCGAAAGCGUGGGUAGCAAACGGG